GUACCGGAGGUAUAAGAUAGAGAGACAGACUUGAUCAGUAGAUGGCGCUGUUGGGACAGUGUCUUUAUGAAACCAAAGGCCUUCUCUUCAGCCUAUAUGUGAAGUCAAAAGCCUGAAACCACAUGUUCCAUUGUUCUGGAAAAAGCCAGAUCACAGGGAACUCAGUCUCCCAGGAUUCCUCAACUUCACACAGAGGUGUGAAAAGCCACAAGGGUCACUCCUAUUGGUCACUCUGUACCCCAUGACCUGUGAGGUCCCGGGCAAUAUAAGCCCGCUUCUCCCCCUCCUCGAUCUCUUUCUUCAAUCCGUCUGAGGGCGGAAGGAUGUCCAGCCUCUCUUGCUGCAUCGCAGACAGGAGAAGCCUGAUUUCUCCAGCUCGUAUCAUCUCUACGCGUCCAACUCUACGAGAGGAGCGCAAAGGUUCAGCUUCCAGCUCAUCUCACCAAGGAAACCUCCUCGCAACUCAAGCUCUACCAAACUCCUAGUAGCAACUCAAUGUCCUGCAGGGGAACUUCAACCAGCAACUGAGUUCCACAGCUCAACAGAACCACGAAGGUAGAAAUCAAAGGACCAGCCAGAAGACUUCACAGAAUUGCGAACUGAACUGCAACUUCCUUUUUCCCUUUUCCUCGGACGAGUAACACAACUGGGCUUAACAAUUAUACUAGGCUAAGCAAAACUGUUUAUUCGAUUUUUUGUGGUGUUUAUAAGUUUGAUUUGUGUUGUGAUACUUUGGUUAUAAGUUAUUCGAAAGUAAUUUUAAUUUGCUAGGCUCCUCCUCCCCAGUCUUUCUUUGCAUUUCAUUCUACACCCUUUGUCUGACUUAGAACCAACACAGACACACGCAUAUCUCUUCACAUAGUUAUCUCCUCCCACGCUACCUGUCGUAAAACCACUUCAAAAGAAGGGGGGCUGUUUCUUUAGGUUGACCAGCGACCAUCUUAGAAGCACAGAGGAAGAUGCUAACCUUUUGGACAGCCGCCAUUUUGGGAGAACUCCGAUUUACAUAGACACACACACUCACAUACACAACUUUGUUUAGUUAGCAAGUUGUUAGCAAUUUGUGUUUUUAUACUAUAUUAUAUUCAUAAUAAAUGUUCAUUCAUUAAUGUUGCAGCAGAGAAUUAGCGCAGAAACAAAGAGAGCCACGUUUGAGUUUAACUUCCUGACGCAACGUGUUCAUGACCUAGUUUCAGAAGCAGUUUGUUGAUUUGACUGAACCAUCGCUGGCAUCAUCGUUUCCCACAGGCUGGAAAACUGUGUGAGUUCAUUAAACUGGGAAAAACAAAGUGAACUGGGUCACAUUUAAACUAUUGAUUUAGUUCAUGAGAUGUUUGAACUUAAACAAAACUGGGGGAGUGUUGUGCCAAUCUGCUCAGAUUGGUUGACAGUCAAGCGAUGACUCAGGCUCCAUUUACUACAAAACAGACUCACAUUCGCCUGUAUCUUUACCACAUCUUCAUUUUGUAGUGAAGCAGUGCUCCCUAAAAACUAUCAAAAUGGCUCUCUCACUCUUCACCGUCGGACAAUUAAUUUUCUUAUUUUGGACAAUAAGAAUCAAUGAAGCCAACCCCGACCCCGCAGCCAAAGCUGCCGCAGUCGCCGACCCUGCCGCAGCCGCUGUAGCCCCCGCCGCUGACGCCUUCUCAGCAGCCGCCGACACUGCCUCUGACGCCGCCGCCGCCGCAGCCGCCACCGCCGCUGCCGCCAAAGCCGCCGCCGAAAAAACCGCCCGAGACGCCGCUGCAGCAGCCGCAGCCACCGCCAGAGGUUAAGGAUCGUGGUCGUCUUGAUGUGGGAUCAUGUGAACAUCUGACCAGCGAGAUGUUACCAAUCUGCUGAAUAAACCUGAGAAGCUGUUUGUUGAAAA